UACGAGGGGGGCAAAUGUUGUUCGGAAUCACUGGGCUUAAAGGGCGCGUAGGCGGGCGAGCGAGUCCGGGGUGAAAUCUUUCGGCUUAACCGGAAAAGGGCCUCGGAUACCGGUCGUCUGGAGGGAGGUAGGGGCAGCUGGAACUUCCGGUGGAGCGGUGAAAUGCGUUGAUAUCGGAAGGAACGCCGGUGGCGAAAGCGGCUACCUGGACAGAUACUGACGCUGAGGCGCGAGAGCGUGGGGAGCAAACAGG
rnacentral:rRNA from 1 species